rnacentral:lncRNA from 1 species
UUCACAAAUGUCAGCGGUCUAAUGGUUUGUGAUAUAACGGAUCAUCUGCCCGUAUUCACGGUGUAUGAUGAUAAUGAGUUAGAUCAAAAAUCACCUCAAAAAUAUUUUUAUAAACGAGCAAGAACUGAGGAUUCAAUUUACUCACUUUAUAGUGACUUAAUAAAACAAGAUUGGAACGAGGUAUACAACAAGAAUGAUGUAGAAAAUGCUUACGAUACUUUCAUGGAAAUUUUUAGUACUGCAUACAAUAAGAACUGCCCUAUUCAGCAAUUCUGUAAAAACAGAAAAACGACAAAAUGUCCGUGGCUAACCAAGGGUUUACAAAAUGCUUGUAAGAAAAAAAACACUCUAUAUAGACAAUUCAUUAGAUUAAGAACAGAGGAUUCUGAAAGUAGAUAUAAAACAUAUAAAAAUAAACUGACCAAUAUAUUAAGGAAGGCUAAGAAACUAUAUUAUACCAAUCUAUUAUAUACAAACAAGAACAACAUGAAAGGGGUAUGGGGAAUACUAAACACUAUAAUCAAGGGUAAUGCAAAAAAUAAUUCAUAUCCAAACUAUUUCACUGAUGGGAUCAAUGACAACCAUAAUAUGAAUGACAUUGUGGAAAGUUUUAAUAGUUUUUUUGUAAAUGUUGGACCGGAUCUGGCAGCAGAGAUUCCGGAGUGUAGUAACAACGAAAUGGAGUCAUUGAUAGACAUUAAUUCAAAAACUAUGUUUUUGUCUGGAGUAACUGAAACAGAAAUAAUAGAUGUCAUUAACGGGUGUAAGAACAAAUCGUCUACAGACUGUUUUGAUAUAGAUAUGACACUAGUUAAACAAAUUAUACAUAGUAUCGUGAAACCAUUAACCUACAUAUGCAACCUAUCGUUUCAAACAGGAACAGUUCCAAAUAAAAUGAAAAUUGCAAAAGUUAUACCUAUACAUAAAAAUGGGAACAAACACAUCUUCACUAACUACAGACCUGUCUCUCUGCUCCCCCAGUUCUCCAAAAUCUUAGAGAAACUUUA